CCUACGGGAGGCAGCAGUGAGGAAUAUUGGUCAAUGGCCGGAAGGCUGAACCAGCCAAGCCGCGUGAAGGACGAAGGUGCCAAGCAUUGUAAACUUCUUUUGUCAAGGGACAAAAUCAGGCUCGAGAGCCUGACCGAGGGUACUUGAAGAAAAAGCAUCGGCUAACUCCGUGCCAGCAGCCGCGGUAAUACGGAGGAUGCGAGCGUUAUCCGGAUUUAUUGGGUUUAAAGGGUGCGUAGGCGGACUGUUAAGUCAGCGGUAAAAGCCCGGGGCUCAACCCCGGCGAGCCGUUGAUAAUGGCAGUCUUGAGAUGUCUAGAGGUAUGCGGAAUGCGCAGUGUAGCGGUGAAAUGCUUAGAUAUUGCGCAGAACUCCGAUUGCGAAGGCAGCAUACCGGCGUCGAUCUGACGCUGAGGCACGAAAGCGUGGGUAUCGAACAGGAUUAGAUACCCCUGUAGUC
rnacentral:rRNA from 1 species